rnacentral:lncRNA from 1 species
CGUUCCUGGCUGCUGCAUUCACCUCCAGCGUUUGUGAUGCCCCAGAGCACAGAACUCCAGGGAGCCCACGAUGCAGGAGAGUUCAGCGACAUUCACUGAGUACAAGAGAAGACUGUUGGGAGGCACCAAUGGACUUUGCAACUGGAGAUCUCCGAACUGGACCAUGUCACUGUUAUGUUUAAUUUGCACUGUGCACAGUAGGUACCCAGUCAAUGCUUGUCGAAUUCCAUGGACUGGGCCUUAUACCUCCGAGGAUUUUUCACAGCAGUAGCAUGUGCACAUGCACAGAGCAAGAACACAACCAAUGCUUGUUUGCUGGUGAAGACCUGGUCUCAGUAUUUGGCCCAGGAAACCCAUUCUUCAUGGACAGCAUGAGGCAAGCUAUGGCCCUUGCUGUGGUCUCAGUGGUUCAGCACGGAAGAUGAAGAUGACGGACAGUCUCAGAAUAUUAGCUUUAGAAGGGACUUUGGAUCCUUUUGAUUUUGGUAGGUGAAAUACUUUUUAAAAAUAAAGAAAAGGGACUUUGGA